UAUACAGAUUGCAAGUGGCAACACUCCACAGCUUCUAUCUUUCUUUCUUUGUUUCUUCAAUCUCUCCUUAGUUACCAAUUAAACCCUUUUGAAAAAACCCUAGAUAUCCAAACCCGAUACGAUCUUCAUAAAAACCUCAAAUUCAAUUCAAUCUAAAAUCACUUUUUGAUUGUUCGUAACCCUCAAGUUAUCGAAUUUAUUAUUGGAUCGAUUAAUUAAUCGGUUAGUUUUAACUAAUGGUUUCAUCAGUUGGUUGAUUUCAACAUGAAGUUAAAGCGAAGGAGGGCCGUUGAAGUGCCUCCAAAGAUCCGAUCAUUUAUCAGUAGCGUCACUGCUACUCCAUUAGAGAACAUAGAAGAACCCUUGAAAAGUUUUGUUUGGGAGUUUGAUAAGGGAGAUUUUUAUCAUUGGGUUGAUCUCUUUAAUCACUUUGAUACAUUUUUUGAGAAAUACAUUAAGACUAGGAAGGAUUUGCAAUUUGAUGACCACUUUUUGGAAUCUGAUCCUCAAUUCCCAAGGGAAGCUGUCCUCCAGGUCCUUCGUGUUAUAAGGAUAAUAUUGGAGAACUGCACAAAUAAGCAUUUCUACAGCUCAUAUGAGCAUCACUUGUCAGCGUUGCUUGCUUCCACUGAUGCGGAUGUGGUUGAGGCGUGUUUGCAAACUUUGGCUGCCUUUUUGAAGAAAACAAUAGGGAAAUAUGUCAUUAGAGAUGCUUCUCUUAAUUCAAAGCUGUUCGCUCUUGCACAGGGUUGGGGAGGAAAAGAAGAAGGCCUUGGGUUAAUUGCGUGUGCUCUGCAGGACAGCUCUGAUGCAAGUGCUAAUGAGUUAGGUUGCACCUUACAUUUUGAAUUCUAUGCAACUGAAUCUUCAGAUGAGCCCACUGCUCCCAUUGGUUUACAGAUCAUCCAUUUGCCUAACAUUGACAACAGAAAAGAGUCCGAUCUUGAACUUUUGAACACUUUAAUCUUACAAUACAAGGUUCCUCCUAGUUUGAGAUUUCCUCUUUUGACAAGAUUGCGGUAUGCUAGGGCAUUCAGUUCCCCAGCUUCUCGACAACAGUACACUUGCAUACGCCUCUAUGCAUUUAUAGCUCUUGUUCAAGCAUGCAGUGAUUCAGAUGAUUUGGUUUCGUUCUUCAACAGUGAACCAGAGUUCAUUAAUGAGUUGGUUACCUUAUUGAGCCAUGAAGACGCGGUUCCCGAGAAGAUUAGAAUUUUGGCUCUUGUUUCCUUGGUUGCUCUGUGUCAAGAUCGGUCACGCCAGCCAAGUGUUUUGACAGCUGUAACAUCUGGGGGGCAUCGUGGCAUUCUUUCCAGCCUUAUGCAAAAGGCCAUUGAUUCCAUUGUUAGUAACUCCUCAAAAUGGUCUGUCCUUUUCGCUGAGGCUUUGUUAUCUCUUGUUACCAUUUUGGUCUCAUCUUCAUCUGGUUGCUCAGCCAUGCGAGAAGCAGGGUUCAUCCCUACACUUCUACCGCUACUUAAAGAUACGGAUCCUCAACACUUGCAUUUAGUUAGCAUGGCUGUUCAUGUUCUAGAGGCAUUCAUGGAUUAUAGUAAUCCAGCUGCUGCGCUAUUCAGAGAUUUGGGAGGUUUGGAUGACACCAUAGCACGCCUUAAUGUAGAAGUUUCUCGUGUUGAAAAUGGUAUAAAGCUGCCAACUGCUAGUAGUGAUCUCGAAAGUUCUGACUUUAAUAGUUCGCAGAUUGUUGCUAGUACUUCUUCCGAGCUAGACAGUAUGCAGGCUCUUUAUUCUGAUGUGUUGGUUGCUUAUCAUCGGCGAUUACUGAUGAAAGCUUUACUACGUGCUAUAUCUCUGGGAACCUAUGCUCCUGGAACCACUUCUCGUAUUUAUGGUUCAGAGGAGAGCUUGUUGCCUCAAUGCUUGAGCAUAAUCUUCAGAAGAGCUAAGGAUUUUGGUGGAGGAGUGUUUCAUCUUGCUGCAACUGUGAUGAGUGAUCUUAUUCACAAAGAUCCCACCUGCUUCCCUGUAUUGGAAGCAGCUGGUCUUCCUUCUGCCUUCAUUGAUGCCAUUAUGGAUGGGGUUGUUGGCUCUGCAGAAGCUGUCAGUUGCAUACCUCAGUGUUUAGAUGCGUUGUGCUUGAAUAACAAUGGUCUUCAGGCUGUGAAAGAUCGCAAUGCUUUGAGGUGUUUUGUAAAAAUUUUCACUUCAAAAACAUAUGUCAGAGCCCUUAGUGGAGAUACCACUGGAUCUUUGUCUAGUGGCCUGGAUGAACUAAUGCGGCACACCGCAUCAUUGCGCGGACCUGGAGUGGAAACUAUGAUUGAGAUCUUGGAGGAGAUUGCAAAACUUGGAUCUGUUCCAGAAGCUAUUUCACCCUCAGCCGACAGUCCUAGUUCUUCUAACCCUGUUCCAAUGGAAACUGAAGGUGAGGAUAGGGGUGUGGUUUUGCCUGAGCAAGACUCACAAAAGGCUAAAGGUUUGGAGCAUGUCGAACCGUCUUCUGAUUCUUUGGUACCAAACAUCGAGUCUUUUCUUCCUGAAUGUAUAGGCAAUGCUGCUCGUCUGCUUGAAACAAUUCUUCAGAACUCUGAUACAUGCCGUAUUUUUGUUGAGAAGAAAGGAAUUGAAGCUGUUCUGCAGCUGUUCACUUUGCCUGCCUUGCCCCUAUCUGUUUCUGUGGGUCAGACCUUAUCUGUUGCAUUUAAGAAUUUCUCUCCACAGCAUGCUGCUUCUCUUGCUCGUGCAGUCUGUUCAUUUUUAAGAGAACAUUUGAAGUUAACGAAUGAACUUAUAGUUCAAAUUCGAGGAUCUCAGCUUGUAAAGGUGGAAUCUGCUAAGAGGAUAACUGUGUUGAAGAACCUUUCAAGUCUUGAAGGUAUUUUAUCUCUCUCCAAUUCUUUGUUGAAGGGAAGUACUACUGUGGUUUCUGAGUUAGGAACUGCGGAUGCUGAUGUCUUAAAGGAUCUUGGGAGAGCGUAUAAGGAAGUACUUUGGCAAAUCUCCUUGUGUUGUGAUUCUAAGGUGGAUGAGAAACAGAACGUGGAAGCAGAGCCUCAAAAUGUAGAAGCAGGUUCUUCCAAUAUAGGAGGUAGAGACAGUGAUGAGGAGACUAAUAUUCCUUCAGUUAGAUACAUGAAUCCUGUUUCUAUCAGGAAUAGUUCUCACUCUCAAUGGGGCGUAGAACGUGAGUUUCUUUCUGUAAUUCGUUCAAGUGAAGGUUUUAAUCGUCGUAGUAGACAUGGUUUAGCACGAAUUCGUGGUGGAAGGACCAGUAGGCAUUUGGAAAGUUUACAAGUUGAUUCUGAAGUUGCUCCCAGUGUUGUGGAGAGUACAAUCCAGGAGGUGAAGAAAAAAACUCCCAGUGUUCUGGUUUUAGAAAAUCUAAACAAGCUUGCUUCUAGCAUGCGUUCUUUCUUUAUGGCUCUUGUUAAAGGAUUUACAUCUCCAAAUCGUCGGAGAACUGAAACAGGAUCUCUAAGUUCAGCUUCAAAGAGCAUAGGAACUGCCUUGGCCAAAGUUUUUCUCGAGGCUCUUGGUUUCUCAGGAUAUCCAGAUGCUGCUGCGCUUGAUAUACCACCUUCUGUCAAGUGUCGAUAUCUUGGUAAGGUUGUGGAUGAUAUGCUGACCCUAACAUUUGAUGCCAGGCGGCGUACCUGUUAUGCGUCCAUGAUUAACAAUUUCUAUGCCCAAGGAACCUUUAAGGAGCUUCUAACAACAUUUGAAGCAACCAGUCAGUUGUUGUGGACACUUCCCUAUUCUGUACUGACAUCUGGAAUGGUUCCUGAAAAUAGUGGUGAGGAAAACAAGUUAUCUCACAGUUCGUGGCUUCUUAGUACUCUGCAGAGCUAUUGCCGUUUGCUUGAAUAUUUUGUCAAUUCAGCUUUGUUGUUGUCUCCAACCUCAACAUCCCAAGCGCAGCUCCUUGUGCAGCCAGUUGCUGUCGGUUUGUCUAUUGGGUUGUUUCCUGUUCCAAGAGACCCAGAAGUGUUUGUCCGUAUGCUGCAGUCUCAGGUUCUAGAUGUUGUACUUCCCAUUUGGAACCAUCAGAUGUUCCCCAGUUGUAAUCCCGGGUUUAUUAAUUCUAUCAUUAUGCUUAUAACUUACAUCUACUGUGGUGUUGGGGAUGUGAAACGAAAUCGCAGUGGGUCAUCAAGUUCUGCAAACCCACGUGCAGUGGCUCCUCCACCUGAUGAGGCUACUAUUUCUACCAUUGUUGAUAUGGGCUUUUCAAGAGCAAGAGCUGAGGAGGCAUUAAGACGAGUUGAAACGAAUAGUGUGGAGAUGGCUAUGGAGUGGUUGUUUAGUCAUGCUGAAGAUCCUGCUCAAGAAGAAGAUGAGUUGGCUCGUGCACUAGCUUUGUCACUUGGGAAUUCAUCAGACUCUUCUAAAGCCGACAACGUUGAUAGAUCGGUAGAGGUUCUAUCUGAAGAACAACAAACUAAGCCACCACCUGUUGAAGAUGUCCUUGCUGCAACAAUUAAGCUGUUUCAGAGCACAGACUCAAUUGCUUUUCCGUUAAUGGAUUUACUUGUGACUCUUUGCAGUCGGAACAAAGGAGAAGAUCGUGCAAAAGUGAUUUCAUAUCUGAUUCACCAGUUGAAAGAUUGCCAGCUGGAAUUUUCCAGGGACUCUGGUGCCUUAUGUAUGAUAACACAUACUUUGGCAUUGCUUCUAUCUGAAGAUGAAAAUAUACGGGAAAUUGCAGCAAAGAAUGAAAUUGUCUCUGUAGUACUUGAAAUAUUGAUGAAGUUCAAGGCUGGAGCUGAAAAUGAGAUUAGGGUUCCUAGAUGCAUCAGUGCACUGCUGCUAAUCUUAUUUAAUCUGUUGCAAACCAGGCCUAAAAUCUCUGGUGAUGAAACUGAAAGAGUCAUAGCUGCAUCUUUACCAGAAUCUUUAGAAGAGCAUCUCCCAUCCCAAGAUGCUGAAGCAGUUAUUGAGAAGAAGUCAACUCUAGUCUCCCAGGAUGACGAAUCGUCCACUGGUUUUGAGAAAAUAUUUGGGAAACCUACAGGUUUUUUGAGCAUAGAGGACAGUCGUAGGGUGCUUGAUUUUGCUUGUGACUUGGUUAAACAACAUGCACCAGCCAUGGUUAUGCAGGCUGCUCUACAGCUUUGUGCACGUUUGACAAAAACACAUGCUCUUGCCAUUCAGUUUCUUGAAAAUGGAGGAAUGGCUUCUCUUUUUGAUCUCCCAAGAUCUUGUUACUUCCCCGGAUAUGACACCUUGGCAUCUGCCAUUGUUAGACAUCUUCUUGAAGAUCCUCAGACCCUGCAAACAGCCAUGGAGAUGGAGAUACGGCAGACCCUUAGUGGAAGUCGUCAUGCUGGUCGUACUUCUGUUAAAACAUUUUUAACAUCAAUGGCACCUGUGAUGUCUCGAGACCCUGGAGUCUUCGUGAAAGCUGCAGGUGCAGUUUGCCAGCUCGAAUCAUCUGGAGGGAGAUCUAUCAUUGUCUUAUCAAAAGAGAGAGACAAGGAGAGAGAGAAAGAUAAAGGUAAAACAUCUGUCGAGUUUGGAGCUUCUAACGAGUGUGUGCGAAUUUCUGAAAAUAAAGCCCAUGAUGGAUCAGGAAAGUGUUCUAAAGGCCACAAAAAGAUCCCUGCAAAUAUUUCUCAGGUAAUUGAUCAUCUUCUUGAAAUAGUAGCAGCAUUUCCUACACAGGGAUUGGGAGAAGAUUGUAUGGGAAACGCCUGUGCUAUGGAGGUUGAUGAGCCCAUAGUCAAAGUAAAGGGGAAAUCAAAGGUUGAUGAGGUGCGGGAGGUUCAGUCUGACAAUGUAUCAGAGAAAUCAGCAGGGCUUGCUAAAGUUACUUUUGUACUCAAAUUAUUGAGUGACAUUCUUAUGAUGUAUGUACAUGCUCUUGGGGUUAUCCUGAGAAGGGAUCUGGAGAUGUGUCAACUUCGGGGAUCCCAUCAGCCGGAGAAUACUGGUCAUGGUGGUAUUAUCCAUCAUGUUUUGCAACGGCUUCUUCCCCUUUCAAUCGAUAAAUCUGCAGGCCCUGAUGAAUGGAGAGAUAAGCUGUCUGAAAAAGCUUCAUGGUUUCUGGUAGUUUUGUCUGGCAGAUCUAGUGAAGGUCGUAGGAGGGUUAUUAAUGAACUUGUGAAAGCCUUGUCUUCAUUUGUAAAGUCUGAAAGCAACUCCGCUUGUAGCAGCUUAUUGCCAGAUAAAAAGGUCCGUGCUUUUGUUGAUCUGGCAUACUCCAUCUUGUCCAAGAACUCAUCCUCAGGCGACCUACCCGGUUCUGGUUGUUCUCCAGACAUAGCCAAAAGCAUGAUAGAUGGAGGAUUGGUCCAGUGCUUAUCUGGUGUCCUUCAAGCAAUUGAUUUGGAUCACCCUGAUGCUCCGAAAGUUGUGAAUCUGAUUCUUAAAACACUGGAAAGCCUAACAAGGGCUGCCAAUGCUAGUGAGCAACUUUUUAAAACUGAUUCUGUGAACAAGAAAAAGUCAACUGCCCUUAAUGGUAGGUCGGAUAAUCAGGUGAAUACAACAUCAGCCUUUCCAAAUAUUGAGGCCAGUGGAGAUGGAAACGGCCAGCAGGAGGUUCCUAAUUCAAAUGCAGGGCAACUGCCGGCUAGUGCUUCUCAGAAUCACAGCAAUGAGAAUGUGACUACAAACCCGUCCAUGGAGCAAGAAAUGAGAACUGAGCAAGAAGAAGCAAAUGCAGGUAAUCCUCCUCUCGAGCUUGGGUUGGAUUACAUGCGUGAUGAGAUGGAAGACAACGGUGUUUUGAACGACACAGAGCAAAUUGGCUUGGGUUUCCACGUUGAGAAUAGGGGACAUCAUGAAAUGGGUGAAGAAGAUGAUGAUAUGGGAGAUGACGGCGAGGAUGACGAGGAUGAUGAUGAGGGUGAGGAUGAGGAUGAAGAUAUAGCUGAAGAUGGCACUGGCUUGAUGUCUCUGGCUGAUACAGAUGGGGAAGAGCAUGAUGAUGCUGGCCUGGGAGGUGAAUACAAUGAUGACAUGGUUGAUGAAGAGGAUGAUGAGUUUCAUGAAAAUCGAGUUAUUGAGGUUAGGUGGAGGGAAGCCUUGGACGGCCUUGACCAUUUACAAGUUUUAGGGCAACCUGGAACAGGUGGUGGCCUUAUUAAUGUUGGAGGUGAGACAAUUGAAGGGUGGAAUGUUGACGACCUCUUUGGUCUUCGCAGGACCUUUGGCUUUGAGCGCCGCCGCCAAACAACUAGGAAUUCCUUGGAACAAUCUGUUACUGAAGUUACUGGUCUGCAACAUCCUCUUCUCUCGAGGCCAUCACAGUCUGGUGACUCUGCUCCUGUCUGGUCAUCUCUUGGGAACUCGUCCAGAGAUUCAGAAGCCUUAUUUGCUGGUAGACUGGAUGUAGCUCGUUUUUACACUUUUGAUUCUCCAGUACUCCCGUUUGAUAGUGCGCCGUCUAGCCUUUUCAGUGACAGGCUCAGUGGUGCAGCACCCCCACCUUUGGCUGACUUUUCUGUUGGUUUGGAGUCUCUACAUGUUCCAGGUCGGAGGCCUGGUGAUGGUAGGUGGACUGAUGAUGGUCAACCCCAAGCGGGCGGUCAGUCUGUUGCUAUUGCACAGAUGGUUGAGGAGCAGUUCAUUUCUCAACUAAGCAGAAUUGCUCCAGCUACUAAUCCUGCUGUUGGAUUACUGGAGAGAGAGCAGGACAUACCUGUAGUUGGUGAGAAUCAACAGCAGAUGGAGGGUGAUAGCACUGCUGGCCAACAAAAUGAUGAUCGCCAUAACAGUAGUGGGCAAGAAUCCAAUCAACCAGUUGAAGUUCAGUCUUGUGAAAGGGAACACAAUCCGGAGGUUGUCGCUGAUCAGGUAGGUGAAUUCCCGGAAGCUAUGGAAGCUAUUGAUCCGAUGGAAAAUGUACUCUUGGACAGGUCAAACAAUGGUCAUGGCAGCAUGGUGAUUGGAGAGGGAAAUGCAAAUCCAAGUGAUAACAUAGAGAGAACUGCAGAUUAUGCUGUAUCAUCUAUACAAGGCGAAGGCAACGCGAUGCAUGAUAGGACUGCUGAUGGGGAUGUAAACAUAUGCAAUAUGACCUCGACUGAUGUACGCAAUGACACAGCCACGUUAACAGACAGUCAUGCCACUGAUGAGCCACUAUUAAUUUCUGGGGAAGCAAUGCUGGAUUCCAGUGCUCAUCAUCUUUCUGUAGGUCAGGAGGAUACUGAUAUACAUAUGCACGGUGUAGAAACAGAAAGGGAGAGUGACCAACCAUUACCUAUUCUGCCUGAGGAACCAUCAGUGACUCAGAACCUUCAGGAAGUUCAAGACGCUAGUCAAACUGAUGAAACUAGCUUAAAUAAUGAAGCUUCUACUCCAAACGCUAUCGAUCCAACCUUUUUAGAGGCACUACCUGAAGAUCUUCGGGCAGAGGUUCUUGCAUCGCAGCAGGCUCAGGCUCAACCUCCAACUUAUACAGCACCGACAGCUGAAGAUAUCGAUCCAGAGUUUUUAGCUGCUCUCCCUCCAGAUAUUCAAGCAGAAGUUCUUGCCCAACAACGGGCUCAAAGAGUCGUACAGCAGACUGAAGGUCAGCCUGUGGAAAUGGAUAAUGCUUCAAUCAUAGCCACAUUUCCAGCUGAUCUGCGUGAAGAGGUUUUGUUAACGUCAUCAGAAGCUGUUUUGUCAGCAUUGCCAUCUCCAUUACUCGCUGAAGCGCAAAUGCUUCGGGACAGAGCUAUGAGUCAUUACCAAGCACGUAGCUUGUUUGGAGGCAGCCACAGGCUUCAUGGUCGUAGAAAUGGGCUGGGAUUUGACAGACAGACAGUUAUGGACAGGGGCGUGGGUGUCACAAUCGGCCGGAGGGCUUCAUCCUCUUUUUCAGAGAGUUUGAAGUUGAAGGAACUUGAAGGCGAGCCACUUUUAGAUGCUAAUGGCUUGAAAGCGUUGAUCCGCCUCUUGCGAUUAGCACAGCCUCUUGGGAAAGGUCUAUUGCAGAGACUCUUGUUGAAUUUGUGUGCGCAUAGCAGCACAAGAGCAGUUCUAGUCCACCUUCUUCUUGAAGCUAUCAAGCCCGAGACUGGAGGGGCAGUUGGUGGUUUAACAACCAUUAACUCACAGAGACUUUAUGGCUGUCAGUCGAAUAUUGUUUAUGGCCGAUCACAACUAUUUGAUGGACUUCCUCCAUUGGUAUUGCGUCGGAUUCUGGAGAUCUUAACUUACCUCGCCGACAGCCACUCUGCGGUUGCCAGUCUGCUUUUCUACUUUGAGCUCUCGCUUAUUCCAGAGUGGUCAGAUUUGAAGUGUUUGGAAACCAAGAGGGACAAAGGCAAGGAAAAAAUUGUUGGAGGAGAUUCCUCAAAUCCUUUUAGAAGCUCUAACAAGAGGGAUAUGCCAUUGGUUUUAUUUCUCAAGCUCUUGAACCAACCACUUUUUUUACGCAGCAUAGCACAUCUUGAACAGGUCAUGGGCCUCCUUCAAAUAGUUGUCCGUAAUGCAGUUUCCAAGAUGGAGUGUGAGUCUCAUUCUGAAGAAACAGUGGACCGUUCUAGUAAUGAAACAGUAGACCGUUCUCAUAAUGAAACAGUAGACGGUUCUCAUAAUCCUGUUGGCAAUGAAACUAUGAGUGAUAUACAGAAAGAUCCUGGAUUGCCAGACAUAAAGUCCCCUCAAGAUGAUAGCGGCACUGGUUCUGCCAACCCUGCAUCUGAUGCCAGUGGAAGCCCAAACAUUCGUGACAUCUUCUUGCAGCUGCCACAGUCUGACUUGCACAAUCUUUGCUGUCUUCUUGGUCAUGAAGGGCUUUCAGACAAAGUUUACAUGCUUGCGGGCGAGGUGUUGAAGAUGCUAGCCUCAGUUGCUGCUCCCCAUCGGAAGUUCUUCAUUUCAGAACUUUCAGAGUUGACUCAAAGGCUGAGCAAUUCAGCUGUCGAAGAGCUUAUCACACUUAAGAAUACACACAUGCUGGGAUUGAGUGCUGGAUCUAUGGCUGGAGCUGCAGUCCUUCGAGUACUACAAACACUUAGUUCACUAAGUACAGCUUGUGCUGAUGGCAAUACUGACACAUCUAUGGAGGAGGAGCAUGAUGAGCAUAACAUCAUGUGGAAGUUAAAUGUUGCACUAGAACCUUUAUGGGAAGAGCUGAGUGAAUGCAUAGGCGCCAUGGAGUUGGAGCUCACGCAGAGCACUUCUGCUUCAGUUAUGCCAAGUACUAAUACCGGGGAGCAUAUACAUGAAGCUGGUUCUUCAUCUGUAUCUUCUCCAUUGCCUCCUGGAACUCAGCGGCUGUUACCUUUUAUCGAGGCUUUCUUUGUUCUGUGUGAGAAGCUUCAAGCAAACAUCUCUAUUAUGCAGCAAGAUCAUAUCAAUGCAACUGCAAGAGAAGUGAAAGAAUUAGCCGGUACUUCACUCAAGUUGUCCUCCAAGUCUAUUGGGGAUUCACAUAAAAGGGUAGAUGGCGCUGUAACAUUUGUAAGAUUCGCGGAAAAGCAUCGGCGCUUGCUUAAUGCUUUUGUCAGGCAGAACCCUGGCUUACUGGAGAAAUCACUUUGUGUGAUGCUGAAAGCCCCGCGGCUCAUUGAUUUUGACAAUAAGAGAGCUUAUUUUCGCUCCAGAAUAAGGCAGCAGCAUGAACAUCACCUCUCAGGUCCUCUGCGAAUUAGUGUUCGGCGGGCUUAUGUGUUGGAGGAUUCUUAUAAUCAGUUGCGUAUGCGACCAAAAGAAGACCUGAAAGGACGGUUAAAUGUGCAUUUUCAAGGUGAAGAGGGUAUUGAUGCUGGUGGUUUGACAAGAGAGUGGUAUCAAUUGCUAUCAAGGGUCAUAUUUGACAAAGGAGCUUUGCUGUUUACGACCGUUGGGAAUAAUGCAACUUUCCAGCCUAACCCGAAUUCCGUUUAUCAAACUGAACAUCUCUCAUACUUCAAAUUUGUAGGCCGCGUGGUUGCCAAAGCACUAUUUGAUGGGCAGUUGCUGGAUGUUUAUUUUACCCGGUCAUUCUACAAACAUAUGCUUGGUGUAAAGGUCACAUAUCAUGAUAUAGAGGCUGUCGAUCCUGAUUACUAUAAGAACUUGAAGUGGAUGCUUGAGAAUGAUGUGAGUGAUAUACCAGAUUUGACUUUUAGCAUGGACGCGGAUGAGGAAAAACUCAUUCUUUAUGAGAAAACAGAGGUUACUGAUUAUGAGCUUAAACCUGGAGGAAGAAAUAUAAGGGUCACAGAAGAGACAAAGCACGAGUAUGUUGAUCUCGUUGCUGACCAUAUUCUGACAAAUGCUAUUCGCCCUCAAAUAACUGCGUUCCUUGAAGGUUUCAAUGAAUUGGUACCAGGCGAACUUAUCUCCAUUUUCAAUGAUAAAGAGCUUGAACUUUUGAUAAGUGGUCUUCCAGAAAUUGAUAUGGAAGAUCUGAAGGCCAACACUGAAUAUACUGGAUAUACAGCAGCAUCUACUGCUGUUCAGUGGUUUUGGGAGGUUGUUAAAGGCUUUAGCAAGGAAGACAUGGCAAGAUUUCUGCAAUUUGUGACCGGCACAUCCAAGGUUCCUUUGGAGGGUUUCAAGGCAUUGCAAGGGAUUUCUGGCCCUCAGAGAUUUCAGAUUCACAAAGCUUAUGGAGCUCCUGAGAGGCUUCCAUCUGCACAUACCUGCUUCAACCAACUUGACCUUCCGGAGUAUACUUCCAAGGAACAGCUUCAAGAACGUUUGCUUUUGGCUAUCCAUGAGGCUAGUGAAGGAUUUGGUUUUGGUUGAGACAAGCUUCCCUUAUGCAGCUUUCCUGAAAAUUGCAUAUAUUUGAUCGCCCUGUGCUUGGCAUGUAAAUGUUGGUAACUGAAACCAUUCACUUGUUCACUGCCUUGUCUAGUGAUGAGAAUUCUGUGCUUUGAUCUGUCGAAAUUUGUUUCCUUCACCUUCUUCAGAUGAGUUUGUUAGAAAGGUUCUUGGAGUACCAUUAGUUCUGUCUAUUUGUUGAGUGCUUAAAGCUUGCUAUUUGAUGGCAUAUAUGAUUUGCACUUUUGUGGUGUCUCUGCGGUUUCCUCUAGAUGUCCUAUGCAAAGAAAAAUGAAGAUGACCCUCAGCUUGCUUAUCACUUUCUCCCGUGCAGACUGGAUGAUCGACAUCAACUGCACAACAUAGAUUGGGGAGUUAUUGCUUACAGAUUUGAGUCAAUACACAGCAUGCCUCAAGGAUGACGGGGUAAUGGCCACACCACUUUGGUCAUGUACAUGGCAGUUUAGUAUCUUGAGGUAGUGAGUUAUGCAUUACGAGUGGUAGUCUUCUUGCAGUGUGGCGAGGAGCUCUGUUAUUUUGUUGUUCCUUCCAUUGCAACAGAUUUAGAGCACACUCCUACGGCCUUAAUAUCCCCGUGUAGAUUAGUCAUUUUCUUUUUGGUAGGGGGUUUAGUGUAGGAGGUCUACAUUUAUUUUGGGUAAUGGGUAGGUUGGCUAAUUCUUUCAUGCUUUAGAAUUUAAUUUAUUACCUAUCGUUACCGAUUGGCAUCAGAUCAACUCUUAGAUCAGCUUAUAAUGCUAUACUGGAUCUGGUAUUUAUUUUGGAAAUGACGAACAUGGCCGCCCUUCAAAUUAUUUAAUCUUAUUUCUCAAUUUGAUUAGAAA